GUUGUAUGGUUAAGUGACUAAGCGUACAGGGCGGAUGCCUUGGCAAUCAGAGGCGAAGAAGGACGUGCUAAUCUGCGAAAAGCUUGGAUGAGUCGAUAAGAGGCGUUUAAUCCAAGAUGUCCGAAUGGGGAAACCCGAUGGAUGAAGAAUCCAUCAUUUCAUUGUGAAUACAUAGCAAUGAAAGGCGAACCGGGAGAACUGAAACAUCUAAGUACCCCGAGGAAAAGAAAUCAACCGAGAUUCUGUGAGUAGCGGCGAGCGAAAGCGGAAGAGCCAGUAAGUUUUAGCUAGUGUAUUAGAGGAAUUGGCUGGGAAGCCAAAUCAAAGAGGGUGAUAAUCCCGUACUCGAAAAUACGAUAGUGGAACUAAGCUUACGAUAAGUAGGGCGGGACACGAGAAAUCCUGUUUGAAGAUGGGGGACCAUCCUCCAAGGCUAAAUACUCCUGAUUGACCGAUAGUGAACCAGUACUGUGAAGGAAAGGCGAAAAGAACCCCGGUGAGGGGAGUGAAAUAGAACCUGAAACCCUGUACGUACAAGCAGUAGGAGCCUGAAAGGGUGACUGCGUACCUUUUGUAUAAUGGGUCAGCGACUUAUAUUUUGUAGCGAGGUUAACUGAAUAAGGGAGCCGAAGGGAAACCGAGUCUUAACUGGGCGUUGAGUUGCAAGGUAUAGACCCGAAACCCGGUGAUCUAGCCAUGGGCAGGUUGAAGGUUGGGUAACACUAACUGGAGGACCGAACCGACUAAUGUUGAAAAAUUAGCGGAUGACUUGUGGCUGGGGGUGAAAGGCCAAUCAAACCGGGAGAUAGCUGGUUCUCCCCGAAAUCUAUUUAGGUAGAGCCUUGAGCGGACACCUUCGGGGGUAGAGCACUGUUUCGGCUAGGGGUCCAUCCCGGAUUACCAACCCGAUGCAAACUGCGAAUACCGAAGAGUGAUACUCAGGAGACACACGGCGGGUGCUAACGUUCGUCGUGGAGAGGGAAACAACCCAGACCGCCAGCUAAGGUCCCAAAGUCUAUAUUAAGUGGGAAACGAAGUGGGAAGGCUUAGACAGCUAGGAUGUUGGCUUAGAAGCAGCCAUCAUUUAAAGAAAGCGUAAUAGCUCACUAGUCGAGUCGGCCUGCGCGGAAGAUGUAACGGGGCUCAAAUAUAGCACCGAAGCUGCGGCAUCAGAAUUUAUUCUGUUGGGUAGGGGAGCGUUGUGUAAGCGGAAGAAGGUGGCUCGAGAGGGCUGCUGGACGUAUCACAAGUGCGAAUGCUGACAUAAGUAACGAUAAAACGAGUGAAAAACUCGUUCGCCGGAAGACCAAGGGUUCCUGUCCAACGUUAAUCGGGGCAGGGUGAGUCGGCCCCUAAGGCGAGGCUGAAAAGCGUAGUCGAUGGGAAACGGGUUAAUAUUCCCGUACUUGGUAAAGCUGCGAUGUGGGGACGGAGAAGGUUAGGUAAGCGGACUGUUGGAAAUGUCCGUUUAAGUUGGUAGUUGGGAGCGGUAGGCAAAUCCGCUGCUCCAUUCAACAACGAGAGAUGAUGACGAGGCUCUACGGAGCUGAAGUUACCGAUACCCGGCUUCCAGGAAAAGCCACUAAGCGAAAGGCUUUAUUAAACCGUACUGAAAACCGACACAGGUGGUCAGGUAGAGAAUACUCAGGCGCUUGAGAGAACUCGGGUGAAGGAACUAGGCAAAAUAGCACCGUAACUUCGGGAGAAGGUGCGCUUACAGUAAUUGUAGUCCCUUGCGGAUGAAGGUGAAGUAAGUCGAAGAUACCAGCUGGCUGCAACUGUUUAUUAAAAACACAGCACUCUGCAAACACGAAAGUGGACGUAUAGGGUGUGAUGCCUGCCCGGUGCUGGAAGGUUAAUUGAUGGUGUUAUCGAAAGAGAAGCUCCUGAUCGAAGCCCCAGUAAACGGCGGCCGUAACUAUAACGGUCCUAAGGUAGCGAAAUUCCUUGUCGGGUAAGUUCCGACCUGCACGAAUGGCAUAAUGAUGGCCAGGCUGUCUCCACCCGAGACUCAGUGAAAUUGAAAUCGCCGUGAAGAUGCGGUGUACCCGCGGCUAGACGGAAAGACCCCGUGAACCUUUACUAUAGCUUGACACUGAACAUUGAAUUUUGAUGUGUAGGAUAGGUGGGAGCCUUUGAAGCAGUGACGCCAGUCAUUGUGGAGGCGACCUUGAAAUACCACCCUUUAACGUUUGAUGUUCUAACGAAGUGCCUGAAACGGGUACUCGGACAGUGUCUGGUGGGUAGUUUGACUGGGGCGGUCUCCUCCCAAAGCGUAACGGAGGAGCACGAAGGUUUGCUAAUGACGGUCGGACAUCGUCAGGUUAGUGCAAUGGUAUAAGCAAGCUUAACUGCGAGACGGACAAGUCGAGCAGGUGCGAAAGCAGGUCAUAGUGAUCCGGUGGUUCUGAAUGGAAGGGCCAUCGCUCAACGGAUAAAAGGUACUCCGGGGAUAACAGGCUGAUACCGCCCAAGAGUUCAUAUCGACGGCGGUGUUUGGCACCUCGAUGUCGGCUCAUCACAUCCUGGGGCUGAAGUAGGUCCCAAGGGUAUGGCUGUUCGCCAUUUAAAGUGGUACGCGAGCUGGGUUUAGAACGUCGUGAGACAGUUCGGUCCCUAUCUGCCGUGGGCGUUGGAUGAUUGAUUGGGGCUGCUCCUAGUACGAGAGGACCGGAGUGGACGCAUCACUGGUGUUCCAGUUGUCUCGCCAGAGGCAUUGCUGGGUAGCUAAAUGCGGAAGAGAUAAGUGCUGAAAGCAUCUAAGCACGAAACUUGCCAAGAGAUGAGUCAUCCCUGACUUUAAGUCAGUAAGGGUUGUUUAAGACUAAGACGUAGAUAGGUUGGGUGUGUAAGUGUAGUGAUACAUUGAGCUAACCAAUACUAAUUGCCCGAGAGGCUUAACCAUACAACGCUCAAG
rnacentral:rRNA from 1 species